AGAGUUUGAUCAUGGCUCAGGAUGAACGCUGGCGGCGUGCUUAAUACAUGCAAGUCGAGCGAGGACCACUUGGUGGCAACACCGGGUGGCUCCUAGCGGCGAACGGGUGAGUAACACGUGGGCAACCUGCCCCCGACUCUGGGAUAAGCCCGGGAAACUGGGUCUAAUACCGGAUACGAGCCUCCUCCGCAUGGGGGAGGUUGGAAAGGGUCUCCGGUCGGGGAUGGGCCCGCGGCCUAUCAGCUUGUUGGUGGGGUAACGGCCCACCAAGGCGACGACGGGUAGCCGGCCUGAGAGGGUGAACGGCCACACUGGGACUGAGACACGGCCCAGACUCCUACGGGAGGCAGCAGUAGGGAAUCUUGCGCAAUGGGCGAAAGCCUGACGCAGCGACGCCGCGUGCGGGACGAAGGCCCUCGGGCUGUAAACCGCUUUCAGCAGGGACGAAGCGAAAGUGACGGUACCUGCAGAAGAAGGUCCGGCCAACUACGUGCCAGCAGCGGCGGUAAUUC
rnacentral:rRNA from 1 species